GUGAAGGCUUACAGACGGUGAACCUGCGGAAGGAUCAUUACCAGAGAGGAGCCAGUUCUCCUUGGGGCCGAGCCCCGCG
rnacentral:rRNA from 1 species